AUUGAACGCUGGCGGCAUGGCUUAACACAUGCAAGUCGAGCGGAGCGAGGGUGCUUGCACCUUAGCUUAGCGGCGGACGGGUGAGUAAUGCUUAGGAAUCUGCCUAUUAGUGGGGGACAACAUUCCGAAAGGAAUGCUAAUACCGCAUAUGCCCUACGGGGGAAAGCAGGGGAUCUUCGGACAUUGCGCUAAUAGAUGAGCCUAAGUCGGAUUAGCUAGUUGGUGGGGUAAAGGCCUACCAAGGCGACGAUCUGUAGCGGGUCUGAGAGGAUGAUCCGCCACACUGGGACUGAGACACGGCCCAGACUCCUACGGGAGGCAGCAGUGGGGAAUAUUGGACAAUGGGCGGAAGCCUGAUCCAGCCAUGCCGCGUGUGUGAAGAAGGCCUUUUGGUUGUAAAGCACUUUAAGCGAGGAGGAGGCUCUUAAGGUUAAUACCCUUGAUGAGUGGACGUUACCCGCAGAAUAAGCACCGGCUAACUCUGUGCCAGCCGCCGCAGUAACAC
rnacentral:rRNA from 1 species